ACGGAAGAAGGGGAUUAUCAGGUAAAACUGCGCAACCUGAUACGUUUCCUUGAAGCCGGGGAUAAGGGCAAGGUUACCUUGCGCUUCCGUGGUCGUGAGAUGGCUCACCAGGAGCUGGGCAUGCAGCUGAUGCAGCGGAUCGAACAGGAUCUUGUUGAAAUCAGUACUGUAGAACAGCGUCCGAAAAUGGAAGGUCGUCAAAUGGUCAUGGUGUUGUCUCCCAAAAAGAAAUAGCCACCCGACGAUAGCCGCCCGACGCUUAUUCCUGCGGGAACAGGUGUCGGGUUUUAUUGUUUGUUGUAGUGGCAGACCUAUAAACGAAUGCGUGGA
rnacentral:misc_RNA from 1 species